GAUCUGAGGAGUUCUUAAGGAAAGGAGCUGGAUUAACAAAGGGUGUUAGUGGAGUUCUAGAGGAUUUAUGUAGAAUAUGGUUUUCUGAAAUGCCUGGUAGUGAUAUUUCAAGAGUGACGCAGAUUCUUGAUGUGCUGUGUAAACAGUGUGCUGCCUCUGCUCUGGUGUGCACAGAAGCACCUUUCAUUGCUGGCUGCCUGUGUGGAGGCUGACUCAUCACUCACUCUGGAGUGUCAGCUGAUACAUGAAUUUCAAUUUCAUUCAAUUACCAAGUUUUAAUUGGAUCCCAUUGCCAGACUGGUCCCCUGUUCCAGACUGUCUCCUCUAAGCUAUGCUGUUACUAUGGCUACUUGGUUCCUUCUGCUUUAUCCCUGAUGUCAUCCCUGCAGCAGUGGAUGACAUCAACACCUACUCAGGUAGACUCCAGACAGUUACUGCAAAGCACUGUCACCUUGCACUUGCUUUCUUCUUACUGUCCAUCUGGAAUAGGAGCAGACCAUGGUGGUAAGGCUCUUAAUUUCCCUGUAUCUCUUUUACUUAGUAACUUUUGCCAAGUGUAAGAGUUCUGGGACCUUAGGAACUUGUGGAAGCCAUCUUUCUCUUCCCUUCCUGACUCUCAAUGAGCCCAGUGCAUUCUUUUAGGAGUAUGGCAUAUACUGUACAUAACCAUCUGUCGUACAGUUUACAUAAAUGAGCCAAAAGACAUCGCUUGCGUAUUUAACAGAAUGUCUUCCUUUGCUUGCUUGCUUAUGGUAGCUUGGUGUAGGUUUUUUUUUUUUUUCUCUCCCUCUCUCUUCAAAUGUAUUUCUUUUUUUCUGGAGCUGGAGAGGAUGAAUCAUUUCAGAGAGAGAAUAAUCUUUGUUCUGUAUUACACUGCUAUGUUGCUAUAUUUCUUGUGUUAAUUGAUGAUCUUUAUGCUUUCUGAGAAAUGUUCAGUGGGCUUUUAAUGUUUAACAUAUGUGUUUUUAAUGAAAAAAAAAACCAACAAAAUCAUAAUAUGCUAUGGAGUUCUUCCAUUGACCAUGGAAUUUAAAAAUUGCCAUCGGCCCUGGAGGAGAUCUGGUCUUAAAACCAACUGUUUCAGAUGAGGAAUACUAUCCAUCCAGAUUUUAGAAUGAUAUGUUGUUAUGCUUUGUAUCAUGUGCUUGGGUUCACAGCCUACAACCUCACCUCACUGGAUGUUACUUUUCUAGUUUCUUCUUAGCUCACACUACAGGGUAAACUAAGGUCGAGAGGCCUUCAAUAUCUUCCUUUCUUGUAGCUACAGAAGUAGGACUCACAGUUAAC
rnacentral:lncRNA from 1 species